ACACAGCAUCUUGCUCAAGUGGAACAGCAAGGCCCCAAGUCAGGAAACCGAGGAGUUUUCUAGAAAUGCGUGGGCCUCCACUCCCCGAGGUGGGAGGAGGCGUGCAUUUCCCUGUUCCUUCACAACGGACAUCUGCAAACCUUGAGCAGAGCACGUAUGUCGGGCAGGGGAGCCCCUGAAAGGUGGGAAGGAGGCAGCCCACCAAGGACCCAGGAAACCCUGCGUGGGGGAUAUCAGGGGUUCUUUUUGGCCUCAUAGCCCCAAAACAACACACCAAAGGAGCGGGCAACUCAGAGAGGGAAGUGGACGCGGACCGAGGAGGCCCAGGCCUGCUCUCCAACCCGGGGACCGGUGACGGAGCAACCGCAAAAACUGUCAGUCACAGAGUCCGGGAAACAGACUGGGAUCUUUGGUUCUGAGAGCCCUCCGGGGCCUGGAAGAGUCUUACCGCUGAAAGGCAAGGUUCUUGGUUCUUCUUUCGUUUCAAAACUGGAUUGACUUGGGCUUAGAGGGAACCAGCAGAGAGGGAACAGGAAAUCAGGAUCAGGAUCUUCUAGAAGGAAUGAGGAACAAAGGGGUUUGUUCCCAUGACACCGAGGUCACUCUGGGCUGUGUGGGACGCCCACCUGCCAGACUCCCCUGAGCAGAGCCUCUGCGGGCUGCUCCCGCCACCUCUGGAGCACAGGUGGGGAGGCCUCAGGGGCCCAGGGCUCAGAGCCCCAGGCCCAGUGCAUGGCCAGUUGACCACUGCUGACGUCACGGCUGUGCGGGGUCCUCUGCCCGCCCGUCUCCUCACGCCUCGCCCUCUUCCUGUUCCCAGCCACCGUCCACCUGCAGGCUGGCUGCUGACUCAGGGGCCGUAGGGGUGGGGGAGGAUGCCGGGCUGGACUUCUCGGCUCCCCUCGGGGAGGACCAGCCCGGGGGGUGUUAGCUGAGCCACCCUGCCCACCCCGCUGCUCCUGAGAUUUGGAGAAGCUGAUGUCCCGCCUGAACAGGGAACAGUUGAAGUGCCCACCAUCAGCCCUCCACCCUUCCCUAGAAUCCAUCAGGGGACGGCAGCAGGACCGUGUCUUGGACCGUACCGUCGUCACUCAUCCCACAGCAAGUGGACCUUGGAAGGCCUUGGACCCUCGGUAUGGUAGAGUUCAGUCACUGUUUCCUGUUGACUUGAGGGCUCACGCCAGAUGGUGAAUGUUCGAGGGGAGAGAGAUGUGGAAAAGCAUCAGACUGGAAUUCCAGAAGAAGAAGGAAAGAGCACAGAGGAAUGCAGAUACGAUCAAAGAUAGUGACUGAAUUUCCCAGACUGGAUGCAAAAAUGUGGCUCCACAGAUCUAAGAGGUCCAGCUUAUUCCAAGCAGAAUAAAUGAAAAGAAAUCCAAGGAGCAUGUUACGGCUUGACCUGUCCCCUACCCCAGAGUUCCUGUAUUGAUGUCCUGGCCCCAGCACCUCAGAACAUGGCCUUAUUAGGACAUGCAAUUAGUCAAGAUGACGUCAUGCUGGAGCAGGGUGAGCCCUGCCCCAACAGGACUGGUCAUAGGAACAGAAGUCUUCAUGGUCAGAGGGGCACUGAUCUUAAUACAUGCAGCUUAUCCCCAAGGGGAAUGGAAAGUAUAAACAAUGGAUGUGUAUGUUUGCGUGUAUACACACAUGCACAGAGAGAAUGCUACAGCAGAUGUGGCAACAGGUAAAACUUGGUGAAUCUGAGUAAAGAGCAUAUAGGAAGCUUACGUCAAAAUAAAUAUAUAUUUUUUAAUUUAGGGCAAACAAAAAAUAAAGGGGCUGAGUAAGAGUUAAAGAGUUUGCUCUAAUGGAUAAAUACAGAAGGCAGAGCCCAACAGAGUUCACAUUUCUCUCAAGCUCA